GCUGAGCACGGUGGCACGUGCCUGUAGUUCCAGCUACUUGGGAGGCUGAGGCUGGAGGAUCGCUUGAGCCCAGGAGUUCUGGGCUGUAGUGUGCUGUGCCCAUUGGGUGUCCGCACUAAGUUCGGCAUCAAUAUGGUGACCUCCCGGGGAUCAGGGGACCACCAGGUUGCCUAAGGAGGGGUGAACUGGCCCAGGUUGGAAAUGGAGCAGGUCAAAACUCCCGUGCUGAUCAGUUGUGGGAUCACGCCUGUGAAUAGCCACUGCACUCCAGCCUGGGCAACAUAGCAAAAAGCUGUUUCU
rnacentral:SRP_RNA from 1 species